GUACUGAUGAAGAGUCCUAUACUAGGACGAAGCAGCUGUCUAGUAC
rfam:Trichobilharzia regenti genome assembly, scaffold: TRE_scaffold0019440